rnacentral:rRNA from 1 species
CCUACGGGUGGCAGCAGUGGGGAAUAUUGGGCAAUGGGCGCAAGCCUGACCCAGCAACGCCGCGUGAAGGAAGAAGGCUUUCGGGUUGUAAACUUCUUUUAAGAGGGAAGAGAAGAAGACGGUACCUCUUGAAUAAGCCACGGCAAACCACGCCCCAGCAGCCGCGGUAAUACGUAGGUGGCAAGCGUUGUCCGGAUUUACUGGGUGUAAAGGGCGUGCAGCCGGGGUGACAAGUCUGAUGUGAAAGCCCGCGGCUCAACCGCGGAACGGCAUUUGAAACUGGCAGGCUAGAGUACCGGAGAGGUCAUCGGAAUUCCUUGUGUAGCGGUGAAAUGCGUAGAUAUCAGGAAGAACACCAGUGGCGAAGGCGGAUGACUGGACGGCAACUGACGGUGAGGCGCGAAAGCGUGGGGAGCAAACAGGAUUAGAUACCCGAGUAGUC